rnacentral:piRNA from 1 species
UCCUCAUGAAAGAUUUGGAAGCAGAGGCGC